rnacentral:tRNA from 1 species
AGGCGCGUAGCUCAGCGGUAGAGCACUGCCUUGACACGGCAGUGGUCGAGGGUUCGAUUCCCCCCGCGCCUA